rnacentral:rRNA from 1 species
GACGAACGCUGGCGGCGUGCCUAAUACAUGCAAGUCGAACGCUGAAGGAGGAGCUUGCUUCUCUGGAUGAGUUGCGAACGGGUGAGUAACGCGUAGGUAACCUGCCUGGUAGCGGGGGAUAACUAUUGGAAACGAUAGCUAAUACCGCAUAAUAGUAGAUGUUGCAUGACAUUUGCUUAAAAGGUGCAAUUGCAUCACUACCAGAUGGCCCUGCGUUGUAUUAGCUAGUUGGUGAGGUAACGGCUCACCAAGGCAACGAUACAUAGCCGACCUGAGAGGGGGAUCGGCCACACUGGGACUGGGACACGGCCCAGACUCCUACGGGAGGCAGCAGUAGGGAAUCUUCGGCAAUGGACGGAAGUCUGACCGAGCAACGCCGCGUGAGUGAAGAAGGUUUUCGGAUCGUAAAGCUCUGUUGUAAGAGAAGAACGAGUGUGAGAGUGGAAAGUUCACACUGUGACGGUAUCUUACCAGAAAGAUACGGCUAACUACGUG